rnacentral:misc_RNA from 1 species
GAUGAAGAACGCAGCGAAAUGCGAUAAGUAAUGUGAAUUGCAGAAUUCAGUGAAUCAUCGAAUCUUUGAACGCACCUUGCACCCUUUGGCAUUCCGAAGGGUAUGCUCGUUUGAGUGUCAUUGUACUCUCACACGCUCCGAUCCUAUGGAUUCGGGGAGCGGUGGACUUGGGUGUUGCUGCCUUUCCUUGUGGCUCACCUCAAAUGUGUCAGUGCACCUCUUGGUUGGACAUAGUACGGCGUGAUAAGUGUCUUCGCCGGCACCUCGCAAGAGGGUGGCCGAUCGGGAGCUCUGUGCUUUCAAACCGUCUUCGGACAAUUUCUGACAACUUGACCUCAAAUCGAGUAGGACUACCCGCUGAACUUAAGCAUAUCAAUAAGCGGAGGA